rnacentral:rRNA from 1 species
UACGUAGGGUGCAAGCGUUGUUCGGAAUUACUGGGCGUAAAGCGCGUGUAGGCGGCCAGGUAAGUCUAGUGUGAAAUCCCGGGGCUUAACCCCGGAAGUGCAUUGGAUACUGCCCGGCUAGAGGAUGAGAGAGGAAGGUGGAAUUCCUGGUGUAGGGGUGAAAUCCGUAGAUAUCAGGAGGAACAUCGGAAGCGAAGGCGGCCUUCUGGCUCAUUUCUGACGCUGAGACGCGAAAGCGUGGGUAGCAAACAGG